AGUGAACGCUGGCGGUAGGCCUAACACAUGCAAGUCGAACGGCAGCACAGUAAGAGCUUGCUCUUACGGGUGGCGAGUGGCGGACGGGUGAGGAAUACAUCGGAAUCUACUUUUUCGUGGGGGAUAACGUAGGGAAACUUACGCUAAUACCGCAUACGACCUACGGGUGAAAGCAGGUGAUCUUCGGACCUUGCGCGAUUGAAUGAGCCGAUGUCGGAUUAGCUAGUUGGCGGGGUAAAGGCCCACCAAGGCGACGAUCCGUAGCUGGUCUGAGAGGAUGAUCAGCCACACUGGAACGGAGACACGGUCCAGACUCCUACGGGAGGCAGCAGUGGGGAAUAUUGGACAAUGGGCGCAAGCCUGAUCCAGCCAUACCGCGUGUGUGAAGAAGGCCUUCGGGUUGUAAAGCCCUUUUGUUGGGAAAGAAAAGCAGCAGGUUAAUACCCCGCUGUUCUGACGGUACCCAAAGAAUAAGCACCGGCUAACUUCGUG
rnacentral:rRNA from 1 species